AGCCUGAACGCUGGCGGCGUGGCUAAGACAUGCAAGUCGAACGGGUGUAGCAAUACACCAGUGGCGGACGGGUGAGUAAUGUAUCGCUAACGUGCCCUGGAGCCAGGGAUAGCUGCCCGAAAGGGCAGGUAAUACCUGAUGAAAUAACCUUAUCGCAUGACAAGGUUCUCAAAGCAGCAAUGCAC
rnacentral:rRNA from 1 species